rnacentral:rRNA from 1 species
CCUACGGGUGGCAGCAGUGGGGAAUAUUGCACAAUGGGGGAAACCCUGAUGUAGCGACGCCGCGUGUGGGAAGACGGCCUUCUGGAUUGUAAACCACUGUCCCCAGGGACGAAAAUGACGGUACCUGGGGAGGAAGCUCCGGCUAACUACGUGCCAGCAGCCGCGGUAAUACGUGGGGAGCAAGCGUUGUCCGGAAUUACUGGGUGUAAAGGGAUCGUAGGCGGGGAUGAAAGUUGGGUGUCAAAACUACCGGCUCAACCGAUAGUCGCACUCAAAACUGGAACUCUUGAGUGAAGUAGAGGCAGGCGGAAUUCCUAGUGUAGCGGUGAAAUGCGUAGAUAUUAGGAGGAACACCAGUGGCGAAGGCGGCCUGCUGGGCUUUUACUGACGCUGAGGCUCGAAAGUGUGGGGAGCAAACAGGAUUAGAUACCCUAGUAGUC